CAUGUCCUAGUCAAGUAGCUCAUUAAUCUGGAGCGGAAGCUGCAUAGCCCUCACUCCAAGGUCUCUAUUAGCUGGGACUGGGCCAUCUUCCUGUGACAACACGUGAGUGUGUUAGAGUGAGCAGAGUUGUGUGGGUGUGGAGGAGAUAGGGACAGAGAGAUGAAGAAAGAGAAUAAACAGGCUGCAAAUUGAGUCUCAGCUCUUUCAUCCACCAGAAAGAAAACCUUCAUGUUUCCUAACAGGGAUGACAGACAAGACAAUUUAAAUGAAUCUAAUUUAGAAAAAUCUACAUUUUAGUGGUGGUGAACUUUGUGAAGCAGUUGUAAAGGCUGAAGUGAGAGCAGAUGGCAGCCAUCUUGACCAAUGCAAUCCAUCCCAACCAGCCCCCUGGAGAAAGCAAGAUUAUGUGUAUCCUGCAAAACCCAACUUACGUUCUGUUGGAUAUGAAAAUUCUUCUGACCACUGACUACUGAAGCCAACACUAAUAUUUCUUUCUUCUUAAAUCAUAAUAUUGUAUCAUAUGAAUAAAAUAAUUUUGUCUUGUUUCAGUCCCUAAUAAUGAAAAAAUGACAUUGUACUUUUGCUUAAAAUUUAAAGUAAUAAAACACUAAAACAUGUAGACUUACAAUAUAAGAACCAAUAGGUGUUGAAUGAUAAAGAGUCUGGUAAUUUUUUUUUCUGUUUCUUGAGAUGAAAAUGUGUUAGAAAUUCACCAAGUGAUAGGAAUAUUUUUUUAUUCAAGGUGGGGCUCUGGGGUCAUACAUGCAUUUAUGCUAACAAGGUGAUUUAUGGUGGGCCUCUAUAUAGUUACAGUAUCAAGCUGCUCGUAUACAAAAGACCUUCCAUGAUUAGAUAGUGGGGGCUUGAAGCCAUGAGGUAUCAGCCCACCUUCUCAAUGUCCAAGGAGGGAAGGGAAGUGCUGAAAAUUGAGCUCAAGCACAUGAUCAAAUGUUAUUAUAAAAUCAUUAUUACAGAUAAAGCACUUUAUUUAGUUGUUUGAAUCAUUCUAAUGAGUAAUUCCACUGGAGGUGAUAGUGGAAAUUAACAAAUUUGUAAUCAAUUGGUCAGAAGUGAGGUUACUCUGGAAACCCUGGAACUUGUAGGUAGUGUCUGACUGAAGAAAGAUCAGACUGAAUGAGCACUAUGUUGUUACCUUGUGAAGUCUGUGCCAACACUGGGCAUUUCAUGUCAGAAUCACAUUGCUGUAAUUCAGUAGGGUCUCAAAUUUGGAAAAAUCAUAAUAAGUUUUUUUUCCAUGUACAGAUGAAAUAAUUGAAGAUAAGAAAUUAAGGUAAUUUGUCAAUAUGCAGCAAAUAUAGAUG